GACGAGAAUGUGUGGAAGCACAUCAACAAUGUUGGUGUCUACACGGCCGCCACGAUAUACAAGGCCCAAUUCGUGGGCAUGUUCCUAUCUCCGUUGGAUAGCAUGGUCUGGAAGGCUUGGGCGCCAUCAAAAGUGAAAUUUUUCGCUUGGUUGGCUUUGCAAGACUGGAUUUGA
rnacentral:rRNA from 1 species